rnacentral:piRNA from 1 species
GUGGAGGAGCGCUCUGGUCGCGGGUCGC